GACGAACGCUGGCGGCGUGCCUAAUACAUGCAAGUAGAACGCUGAAGGAGGAGCUUGCUCUUCUGGAUGAGUUGCGAACGGGUGAGUAACGCGUAGGUAACCUGCCUGGUAGCGGGGGAUAACUAUUGGAAACGAUAGCUAAUACCGCAUAACAUUGAUUCUUGCAUGAUAGUCAAUUAAAAUGUGCAAUUGCCUCACUACCAGAUGGACCUGCGUUGUAUUAGCUAGUUGGGGAGGUAACGGCCCACCAAGGCCACGAUACAUCGCCGGGCUGAGAGGGGGAACGGCCACACUGGGACUGGGACACGGGCCCGGCUCCUACGGGAGGCAGCAGUAGGGGAUCAUUGGAAAAGGACGGAAGGCUGAACGAAGAAAGCCGCGGGAGGUAAGAAGGGUCUCGGAUUGGUAAGGUCCGUUGUUAGGGAAGAAAGAGUGUGAGAGUGGAAAGUUCACGUUGUGACGGUACCUUAACAGAAAGCGACGGCUAACUACGUG
rnacentral:rRNA from 1 species